GUGAGUCAUCGAAUCUUUGAACGCACAUUGCGCCCCUUGGUAUUCCAUUGGGCAUGCCUGUUCGAGCGUCAUUAAACACAUUCUCAAGCUCUGCUUGGUGUUGGGUGUCUGUCUGCGCCUGCGCAGACUCGCCUUGAAGCUAUUGGCAGCGGCUUCGCCAGCUUCUCGCGUAGCACCUUGCGCCAUGAUGCCUAGGCAGGUCAGCGUCCAUCAAAGGAAUUUCCGCAAGUUGGACCUCGAAUCAGGUAGGGAUACCCGCUGAACUUAAGCAUAUCAAUAAGCGGAGGA
rnacentral:misc_RNA from 1 species